rnacentral:lncRNA from 1 species
AUGAAGCCGUCGCAGAAAUUAGAAUCGGGACUCCUAUAUAUUACAUAUUUAUAUAUAAUUUAAUAUAAGAAUAUUAAAUUACGCCCGUCUAUCAAGAACGUGUCUAAAUAUAUUCUAAUCAUUGGAUUAAUUAUUGUAUCUUUAUAGAUCAUCCUGAAUACAUGCGCCUUGAAUAAAUCACGUGGGUUACAUUCAACAAUUUUUGCCAAAAAAAAAGAAAUAAAGAAAAAUGCUAAUAACUUGCAAGCAAAAUAUAUAUAUAUAUAUAUAUAUAUAUAUAUAUAUAUAUAUAUAUAUAUAGAGUUGAGCUAGAAUACUUGUAAAAGUAUUAUGUGAGUGAUGAUUUUGAGUUUUUAGCCAUUGGAUGGAGAAAUAUGAGGUUGAGAUGAUGGUGGUAGGUGGUAGUAGGUGGUGGUAGGUGGAAUAGUGUUUGAUCCAAAGGCUAUUAGUAAUCAAGAAGUAGAUCCAAC